rnacentral:sRNA from 1 species
GCCGGGCGUGGUGGCGGGCGCCUGUAGUCCCAGCUACUCGGAGGCUGAGGCGGGAGAAUGGCGUGAACCCGGGAGGUGGAGCUUGCAGUGAGCCGAGAUCGCGCCACUGCACUCCAGCCUGGGCGACAGAGCCAGACUCCGUCUCAA